rnacentral:piRNA from 1 species
UAGGGCUGGGAGCAGAGCGCAUG